rnacentral:lncRNA from 1 species
AAUUACUUGGUGGGUUUUUUUUUCUUGUUAGGAGUCCGUGUUCCAUGUUUUAUUAUAAAUCUGUGUGCUUUCCUCUGUUUUAUAUUACUUAUGGGUGCCGUAUUUAUGUUAUGUAAUCUUGUGCUGUGUUUUACUAUGUGUUUGUAUGGUAUCUCGUGUCUUGAGCCGGGGGUCUAUCGGAAACAACCUUUCUACUUCUUCAGAGGUAGAGGUAUGGACUGCGUACAUCUUACCCCCAGACCCCACUAGGUGGGAAUAUACUGGGUUUGUUGUUGUUGUUGUAGUCUCGUAAUGAACGUAUCUCUAAAUAGUCGGAUACAGAGAACAAUAACAAUAAAAAGGUGGCUUAAUUUCUCAACUCAUCCUUCCACGAUAGUCAAGAAGAUGCACCUUAUGAUGUGUAUAUUAAGUCUGGUAAAGUAAUUCUUUAUGACUUUCCCUUGAAAUAUUUACAAAUACAAAUGUGACCGAAGGAAUUGACGAAAUAAUGAUUGGCUACUAGUCAAUUUAGCUAGUUCAACUGUUAAAUACCUGUGAUAAACUCGACUCUCUUAAUUCUCUACUCUCUUAAUUCUCUACUAAUGGGGAAGUUUUGGGUAUGAUAUUCUAGCUCUUAUGUGUAUUUUUAUUUUACUUAUUGGAGUUGUAAAAGAAAUUAUUUAUUAAUAUCGUGUUUUAUACUUUUGUUUGAUAGAUAUUGCAUUUUUUCCUGUUCAUCUGAAUAUAUUUUUGAUGUUUUCUCUAAAUCUGAAAUGCUAUUAUAUCUCUAUUAGAAACUGUGAUCAGCAACAUGUAAAACAAGAGGCGUGGAUAUAACUGGUUUACCAGCAACAUGUAAAACGAGAGGCGUGGAUAUAACUGGU